CGAAAUCGGGUAGCGGUACGGACUUAAAAUCCGUCGACUUUAGAAAUCGUGAGGGUUCAAGUCCCUCUAUCCCCA
rnacentral:tRNA from 1 species